rnacentral:rRNA from 1 species
UACGUAGGGGGCAAGCGUUGUCCGGAUUUAUUGGGCGCAAAGAGCGUGUAGGCGGCCAGGUAGGUCCGUUGUGAAAACUGGAGGCUUAACCUCCAGCUGUCGAUGGAAACCAUCUGGCUAGAGUCCGGAAGAGGAGAGUGGGAUUCCUGGUGUAGCGGUGAAAUGCGCAGAUAUCAGGAAGAACACCCGUGGCGAAGGCGGCUCUCUGGGACGGUACUGACGCUGAGACGCGAAAGCGUGGGGAGCGAACAGG